rnacentral:rRNA from 1 species
UACGAAGGGGGCUAGCGUUGCUCGGAAUCACUGGGCGUAAAGCGCACGUAGGCGGGUUCUUAAGUCAGGGGUGAAAUCCUGGAGCUCAACUCCAGAACUGCCCUUGAUACUGGGAAGCUUGGAGUCCGGGAGAGGUGAGUGGAACUGCGAGUGUAGAGGUGAAAUUCGUAGAUAUUCGCAAGAACACCAGUGGCGAAGGCGGCUCACUGGCCCGGUACUGACGCUGAGGUGCGAAAGCGUGGGGAGCAAACAGG